UACGAAGGGUGCAAGCGUUACUCGGAAUUACUGGGCGUAAAGCGUGCGUAGGUGGUUUGUUAAGUCUGAUGUGAAAGCCCCGGGCUUAACCUGGGAACUGCGUUUGAUACGGAUGGGCUAGAGUUCGGGAGAGGAGAGUGGAAUUCCCAGUGUAGAGGUGAAAUUCGUAGAUAUUGGGAAGAACACCGGUGGCGAAGGCGGCUCUCUGGACCGAGACUGACGCUGAGGCGCGAAAGCGUGGGGAGCAAACAGG
rnacentral:rRNA from 1 species